AAAGCGAACAUACUGAACAAACAAUUUCAGUUAUCUUUUACAUCUGAAGCAAAUACUGACAUUCCAGAUAAAGCCCGGUCCUAGUAUUCAUCCCAAAAUGACAACCAUAACAAUAUCUAUACCGGGAUGGUGUUUAUAAACUUAAAAAAAAACUAAAAAAAAACAACCUAAUAAAGCUACUGGUCCUGAUACUAUCGCAGGCAAAAUACUUAAACAAAACAUUAAGACAUGAAAUACAUCCUCACAUUAAUAUUCACCAAAUCAUUAAUAACAGACAAAGCCACGUAACCAUCUGACUGGACUGAACCACGCAUAUGUCCCACCUGUAUUCAAAAACAGGGGAUAAACAUAACCUAGGUAACUACAGACCUUUAUCCUUAACAAGCAUUACUUGCAAAUUACUUAAACAUAUCUUUGCAAGCAGC
rnacentral:lncRNA from 1 species